GAUGAACGCUGGCGGCGUGCCUAAUACAUGCAAGUAGAACGCUGAAGCUUGGUGCUUGCACCGAUCGGAUGAGUUGCGAACGGGUGAGUAACGCGUAGGUAACCUGCCUCUUAGCGGGGGAUAACUAUUGGAAACGAUAGCUAAUACCGCAUAAAAGUCGACAUCGCAUGAUGUUGACUUGAAAGGCGCAAUUGCAUCACUAAGAGAUGGACCUCCGUUGUAUUAGCUAGUUGGUGAGGUAACGGCUCACCAAGGCGACGAUUCAUAGCCGAACUGAGAGGGUGGACCGGCACACUGGGAAGUGAGACAGGCCCCGAAUUCUUAGGGAGGGAGCAAGAAGGGAACCUCGGGAAAGGGGGGAAAGCUGGACGAGGAAAGCCGCGGUGGGGAAGGAGGUUUUCGGGUCGGAAAGCUCAGUUGUAAAGGGAGAACGAGUGGGGGAAUGGAAUGUUCACACUGUGACGGUAACUAACCAGAAAGGGACGGCUAACUACGUG
rnacentral:rRNA from 1 species